ensembl:lncRNA GFOD3P Gfo/Idh/MocA-like oxidoreductase domain containing 3, pseudogene
ACACCCGUGCCACCCGCCCUUGCCCCGUCAGCCUCAGCCUCAGCUCAUUCUCUCAGGCAGUCCCAGCAUUGGCACGGUACCUCCUCCCGCUGUGGGCCACACGUCUCUGCUCCCUGUCAACCCUCCUGCCAUCAGCACCACCACCAGCGACUUGUCUGCCCGGGAGGAUGCAACACCAUCUGCCUCCACCGGCCACCUUUCAGUGUUUCCUGCUUUCCAAGUAAAGAUACCAGCAGUGCCCUCAGAGCAGACCAGCCAGAGUUUUUCUGAAGCCUCCCACAGGGUGCUCCCCGGAGGAGGCCCGAGAUGCUCUCGUGACUUUGGAGCCGGGGUGGCUGGCCACCUUGGCCUGGGCAUCUUUGGGGUGGGCUUCGGGAGCCCGGCACUGCUGCAGAGUGUGGUGGAUGAGAACAGCUGCUGCUUGCUGUACGUGGUGGAGGACCAGCUGUGUGAUGUGGAGCAAGCCUUCAGAGCUGAGCAUUUGGGCCAACACCAGAGUGGUUCGGGAACAGGAUGCAGACAUUGUCCUCAACGACCAGCGGCACUUUGAUCCGGUUUUCCAGUUCUUGCACAAGCAAGUUUGUGUCAGCCACGCCCUGGGGAGGAUCCACUGGAUCACCGCCGUCACUGCCUGUUCCCGGCGGCCUCUCCGGCUUCCCUAAAGAGAGCAGGUGGGACUUUCUACAACGCUGCUGUGCACGACGUGGAUGCCGUAUGCAUGUUGCUGGGGGAAGCCACUCCGGACACUGUGUUUUCUCUGGGACAUGUCUUCUGCCCAGAUAUGGCCGCCUUAAAAGAUGCAGAUGCUGUUGUGAUCAGCAUGAAGUUUCCCUGUGAGGCCGUGGUUAGCGUGGACAUCAGCCAGCACUGCACAGACAGCUGCGACCAGGACGUCAGCCAGCACUGCACAGACAGCUGCGACCAGAGACUGGAGGGAAAUAACCUCCUGAAAUCACCAAAGAGCAGUUCCUCAGGGCCUUCCGGGUGACCGUGGCCGUGGAGCAGUCGUGGUGAAACCGGUCAGCUGUGGACCUGCCCUGCGAAUCGGCAGAGGCCUCCGUGGUGAAGACAGAAGCUCCGUGAACCAACUCGAGGCUGGAGCCAAGAUCCUGCCUGAUAUCCAGUUGCCUGUUUCACUUGUUACUGUUACUGGGAGAGGGAGACAAAACCUCAUGGCAAUCUUGUCCUCACUGGAGACUCAGAAGGGGAAGCAUUGGGAAACCAUAUGGAGUCUUGCCCUGUCACCCAGGCUGGAGUGCAAUGGUGCGAUCUCGGCUCACUGCAACCUCCGUCUCCCAGGUUCAAGCGAUUCUUCUGCCUCAGCCUUCUGAGUAGCUGGGAUUACACGCGUGUGCCACCACGCUCGGCUAAUUUUUGUAUUUUUAGUAGAGAUGGGAUUUCACCAUGUUGGCCAGGCUGGUCUCGAACUACUGACCUCGUGAUCCACCUGCCAUGGCCUCCCAAAGUGCUGGGAUUACAGGCGUGAGCCACCAUGCUCGGCCUAAAAAACAAUUUUCUUGAAGAAUCCGAUUUUGUGCAUAGUAAUGACACAGCACCAUUCCUGAGAAAUAGGAAAUAUAUGUGUGUGGUAUGAAAAGCCCAUAUUCUGUUCUUGUCACCUGAAUCUAGGCUUCCUCUUUGGAUGUGAACGCGGGAAUGAACAGUGGCUGUUUUCCACCCAAAGGGGCGUGGAGACCUUUUGGAAACGGGCUUUCUCCUUUCCAUUUUGCAGCCGGGGGCGGGUGGAAACCUUCCUUCGAAGGGUAGUGCCUUGGGGAGCAGCAGACCUGCUCUGAGUCCAGCUUAGCUUUCCAAAAUUCUGUGUGGAACUUACUGGAGAUGUUUUUAUAUAUUUGAAAAUAAUGGCCUGUAUU